rnacentral:rRNA from 1 species
AUUGAACGCUGGCGGCAGGCCUAACACAUGCAAGUCGAACGAGUGGCGGACGGGUGAGUAAUGUCUGGGAAAAUGCCUGAUGGAGGGGGAUAACUACUGGAAACGGUAGCUACUACCGCAUACCAUCAGAUGUGCCCAGAUGGGAGUAGCUUGUGGGGGGGGUAACGGCUCACCAGGGCGACGAUCACUAGCUGGUCUGAGAGGAUGACCAGCCACACGGGAACUGAGACACGGUCCAGACUCCUACGGGAGGCAGCGGUGGGGAAUAUUGUACAAGGGGCGCAAGCCUGAUGCAGCCAUGCCGCGUGUAUGAAGAGGGCCUUCGGGUUGUAAAGUACUUUCAGCGGGGAGGCGUUACCCGCAGAAGAAGCACCGGCUAACUCCGUGCCAGCAGCCGCGGUAAUAC